rnacentral:lncRNA from 1 species
GGAGCUGAAGUUGAAGAUGAUGAUGAGGAAGCUGAGUAUUGAGUCAUCCCAUCUGGAUGCAUGGUUAUUUUCCUUUGGUAUCAGUCAACCAGGAGUGCUUGGGUUGCAUGGUUGUACCUCCCAUUUGUUUCCCUGUUUGCUAUUGCAUUACACCUGUUCAUGAUUGCCAGAGUAGAACUGUGAAGAUUGGUUGAACUGGUGUGAUGGUUUGAGAUAAAAUAAAAUAAGUAUUAAAAAUGUCACGUGAAAGAUAUAUUAGUAGAGUAGUCAUUAGUCACAAGAAACAUACUUCAAUAUCAUAAUAAUACUAUAGUCACAGCAAAUCCUGCUAUAAACGCCAAAGUCAAAUACCUCUAUAGAGACCGUGUUGAUGACUUGAUAUCCUAAACAAUAAACAGCAAAAAAGAACAAGGGCAGUAUGUGCCGUGUGCAAUGCAUUGGGAGACGUGAGGACCCCUUGGAAGAUACUACAUUCCUUAUUAAUGGGUAAGGAUGGAUGCCAUAGCAGAUGCAUUUCUUGAUCAGUGGUUCACUCGGUUCACUGAGCAUAUUGAAGACAAAACAUGCUGUGGUACUGUGGUGUUAAGUACUCCCUACGUUCCAAAUUAUAAUUCACUUUGAAUUUUUUUGGUACAUCCAUUUUGCUACAAAUCUAGAUAUAAUAUGUCUAGAAACAUAGCAAAAUGGAUGAUUGAAAAAAGUCAAAGCGACUUAUAAUUUGGAAUGGAGGAAGUAUAUGAGAUGGCCAUAGGAACAGCACACACCGAAAAGCUAGGUCAGGACAUUUAUAGGAAAUCCACAAGGUAUGGAGCCAUGGAGGUGUUUGCUUCUCAUCACUGAACCUCUCAAUUCAUUGGAUCAACGGGUGUACAGAUCUUCUUGAGAAACUGAGACUCAGAGGAGGGGAGAGGGGGGGGGGGGGGGGGGGGAUGCCCCAGUUACUGACCGGAGAAAUGCUCAACCCAAAAAAGACAUCCAUGCUAUCAAAUUGAGCCAUAGAUACAGAUAGUGUUUGUUCAUGUAUCAUAAUCACUGAAUAAUGGAGGGUAUUAUUUCGUGAUUAUGAUACUUCAACAAAUAUUAUCAGUAUGUUUGGCUAGUUGUUCCCAUAACAAAUUUUCCCCCUUUAUACCAUCUUAUAAAAAUCACAGCAAAGCCAUUGCCGUCCUUUACACUAAAUAAGAUACCAAAUACAUGCAGAAUAUUUUACAGAUGACUUCCAUAGAUAUAGUACUAGAAACUGAUUUCUUAACAAAAACAUUGGAUGGGCGAUCGAUUCGUCAGAGAAGUACCUAUAGUGAUAGAAACUAAGACAGUGAUUUUUAUUGUGGGAACAAAUGAGGCACAUAGGAGAAGAAGAAAAAAAAAAGCUACCGCAGCUCCACUUCCAAUUAAACGGUGGGGUUCUAAUGAAGAUGGUAGCGUGCAGGUGCACACCUGCUAGUGAACGGAGGCGGCGGCGACGAGCAUGCCGAACUGUCGAUUCAGCGCAGAUCACCCCUCAUUCUCCGACGGCAUCAGUCAUCUACCUUUCUCUCUCGGAGACGCGAGACGACCGAGUUGGGGGGCGAUGGAGGAGGGCGGAGAGCCGGAGACGAGGAGGUAGCCGGCCGGAGCCCGGUUCGUGGAGGACUGGAGGGGAAGGGUUGGUCACAGGAGAUCGGACACUGACACAGUAGGUCCCACGUCUGUAUCAACCACGGGCCAACUGGAUAGCGGACAACUGUCGGUGGUCUUUCUUAGUGGGCCGGAUCCAUUUUCAUGGGCAUCCUAAUUUCUCGGUGGG